rnacentral:rRNA from 1 species
UAGUAUAAGCAAUCUAUACAGUGAAACUGCGAAUGGCUCAUUAAAUCAGUUAUCGUUUAUUUGAUAGUACCUUACUACUUGGAUAACCGUGGUAAUUCUAGAGCUAAUACAUGCUAAAAACCUCGACUUCGGAAGGGGUGUAUUUAUUAGAUAAAAAACCAAUGCCCUUCGGGGCUCCUUGGUGAUUCAUGAUAACUUAACGAAUCGCAUGGCCUUGUGCCGGCGAUGGUUCAUUCAAAUUUCUGCCCUAUCAACUUUCGAUGGUAGGAUAGUGGCCUACCAUGGUUUCAACGGGUAACGGGGAAUUAGGGUUCUAUUCCGGAGAGGGAGCCUGAGAAACGGCUACCACAUCCAAGGAAGGCAGCAGGCGCGCAAAUUACCCAAUCCCGACACGGGGAGGUAGUGACAAUAAAUACUGAUACAGGGCUCUUUUGGGUCUUGUAAUUGGAAUGAGUACAAUUUAAAUCCCUUAACGAGGAACAAUUGGAGGGCAAGUCUGGUGCCAGCAGCCGCGGUAAUUCCAGCUCCAAUAGCGUAUAUUAAAGUUGUUGCAGUUAAAAAGCUCGUAGUUGAACCUUGGGCCUGGUUGGUCGGUCCGCCUCGCGGCGUGCACUGAUCCGACCGGGCCUUUCCUUCUGGGGAACCGCAUGCCCUUCAUUGGGUGUGUUGGGGAUCCAGGACUUUUACUUUGAAAAAAUUAGAGUGUUCAAAGCAGGCAUAUGCUCGAAUACAUUAGCAUGGAAUAAUAGAAUAGGACGUGUGGUUCUAUUUUGUUGGUUUCUAGGACCGCCGUAAUGAUUAAUAGGGAUAGUCGGGGGCAUCAGUAUUCCGUUGUCAGAGGUGAAAUUCUUGGAUUUACGGAAGACUAACUACUGCGAAAGCAUUUGCCAAGGAUGUUUUCAUUAAUCAGUGAACGAAAGUUAGGGGAUCGAAGACGAUCAGAUACCGUCGUAGUCUUAACCAUAAACUAUGCCGACUA